rnacentral:rRNA from 1 species
UAAUACAGAGGGUGCAAGCGUUAAUCGGAUUUACUGGGCGUAAAGGGCGCGUAGGUGGUUGCGUAAGUGAGAUGUGAAAUCCCCGGGCUUAACCUGGGACGUGCAUCUUAGACUGCGUAGCUGGAGUGUUGUAGAGGGUAGUGGAAUUUCCGGUGUAGCGGUGAAAUGCGUAGAUAUCGGAAGGAACACCAGUGGCGAAGGCGGCUACCUGGACAAACACUGACACUGAGGCGCGAGAGCGUGGGGAGCAAACAGGAUUAGAUACCCUGGUAGUCCACGCUGUAAACGAUGAAAACUAGAUGUUGUUGGGCCUAGCCCCAUCAGUAUCGAAGCUAACGCGAUAAGUUUUCCGCCUGGGGAGUACGGUCGCAAGAUUA